GAACGAAAUCAGCAAGGGGGAAGCCAUAUUUAGGGUUUUCAAGGUUCCAAUCUCCAUAAUCAAGAAGAACGAAACUCGAGGUUAGACAAAGGAAAGAAUAAAGUUGAAGACUAAGUUGGUGAAUUGGGCUAUAUUUGGGAUCGAGUAUUGCAAGCUACUUCAAGUAUCCUAAAGAAGUCGGAGAUCGUCCACACUAUCAACCGCAAUAAUUCGGUAUUUUAUGAUGAACCAUGUUUGGGUUAUGGCAUGUAUAGGGACUUAGUUAUUUUGAAUGUUUGUAUUUAUGAUUUUUCUAAAGGAUAUUAUGUAAGUAUUUGAUGAUGACUGGUUGUUAAAUAUGGUUAAGUAUGAAGGUGUUUGU